UGUCUGUGUCAGCCUUGUAGCUGAAAUAUAAGAAUAACACACCGGGUCUCAACAGAUUUUUCCUCAUCUCACCUUUGCUUGCCACAUGCACUGAAAUCUUGUAUCAAACAAGUCAACAAACGGAGGGCAGGGACAUCCAUCCUUCAAUGUCUGCUCCGUCAGAAGCUCGGCCAAGACCUUGAAUGACCGUUCAGGUGAGCGGCUGGCAGUCAGAGCCGUGGCAGGUGGUGGUGGGCAUGAGGAGGAGUGUCAGAAAUUCAAAGCUCAGACUGUGACAUCCUCCCAUUUGUCCUGCUGUCAACUGCUGGGAGCAUCAAGAGGAAGACUGCUCUCUAUUUCUGCACAUGGCUGGUGCUGACACACAAAACCUGAACACAAUUGCAAAGGUUGACCUCUUGUAUUUCUCAACAGCAUUAGUCAUCAAGUAUGCCUUCUGAUGGACUAUAAACCCGCCAUCCAAAGCUUACAACACGCCUUUAGGCAGCGUUUGAUUUCAUGCUCUUUCAUACAUUUAGCUUCAGUGUCACCACUAGUUGUUACAUUUCCCACCCUACACUGUAUUUGCAUUCUCAAGCCAUGCUUCAAAAAGGCCCGGUCCACUAGUGGCAGCACCCCUCUGACUUUCAAUUCAAGAUUCAAUGUUUUUUUUCACUACAGUCACAUUGAAGUAAAGAAUCUAGACAUUUCAUUGCAGGCUCCAUAAAUGAAUUGUAUAGAGGAGAAAACACAAUAAAAAGAAAACUUAAGCAAUAGGACCGAUCAAAAGCUCGAAACAUGGAGAUAAUCAGUUGUAAAAAAAUAUAUAUCAGCAAAAUGAAAUGCAAUAGAAAGCAAAAUAGAUACAUAAUUAAAAUGUGAUUAAAAUAAUGUACUCUGGAUGAGUGCAAAAGUGAUUAAAAAGAUAUACAAACUAUAUGUACUAACAAACAAAUUGACCGGGGGUGAUCAAAAAUGUAAACAACGGGGAGCUGGGGAGCCUAACGGUUAUGUAGUGCGCCCCUUGUACGGAGGCUAUAGUCCUUCUAGCAAGGACCAUGGGUUUGAAUCCAACCUCGGCCCCUUUGCUGCAUGUUUUCCCCCACUCCCUUCUACCAUCAUUUCCCAUCUUUGUCCAGCUGUCGCAUCCAAUAAAUGAAAAAAUGGGCGCAAAAAUACAUCAUGUUACAUCAUAUAAAUCUAUUAUGGGUUAAUGCUUCAUUAUCAUGAUUAUCAGAAGGGGCAGAUGUACAUCCUCCAAAACCUUCCUGAAAGACAACUAUAAGUGAAUUUGGUGUACUUAUUGAGGGCUUGCUUAACACAGAGUGACCAAAAUGGCCAAAAAUGUACCCAUGGUGCCAAUUUUCUACAGUCUCUUCGUGAAAACAUGUGCUUAAUAAAUAACAGUAAUGCUGA